CUCCAUGGGCAGUGCUCCAACCUCCAAAUCCCCAUUCUUGGCCGACCAAAUUCAUCACCAUUGUUGAGUCUCCGAUCGAUUCCUUGCAUCUAGAGUAUCCUCUCGACGUCGCGCUUCCGUUUUGCUACUUCCCGAGCUCCCUCCCUCGCCGGGCGAUCCCGUCCACGACGAGACUCCAUCCGCCUCCAUGCGCUACCUCCUGGAAGACCUUGCUGCGGCCCCUCCUCGCCACCUGGGUCGAUGGUAAGCCUCCCGACCUUGUUGUGCCGCCCCUUUCCUCUCCCCCGAGCCGUACCUUGCCUUUCCCCCGCCGGUCGCUAGGGCCACAGCCAAGUGCCGAGACACAGACAUGCCUGUUUCUGUGUGCUGUGCGCCAGGGUCCUAAGGGGAGAAGAAGAAGAAAGUGUAGGGAGUUAUGGGUAAAAUCCAGGAACUUUUACGCGAUUAACCUGUAGACCUGGGGGCUAGAUUGCAAGUUUGUCUCGGUUUUCUUUAUUUCCUAGAUCUAAAAAGGCUGCAACUUUGGAAAUUCGUAGUAAAUUGUAGAAAAAUCAUAAAAUAGCAAAUAAAAAUGUUUCGGAAUCCGUGUGAGAAGAACUAUGUAGCAGUUAUAUAAUAUGAUAUGUGUUUGUAGAAAGUUUCUGAUAUUUUUUUUAUCCUUGCAAAGUGCUUUUAGAAAUCAUUUUAAGUUGGUUGGAUGCAUAUUUUAAGUUAUAAAAGUCCAAAGAUUAUGGUUAUAGUUGUGUUAGUCUUAUGAUGACACUCUUUAGCUAAUAAAAAUAUUAAACAUGCUAGUGGUGUGCCAUUUUUAUCAUGUUUUGAUUUAAUAGGCAAUUUUAGCUUGUUUUGCUUGUCAUUUUCAUAUCUAAAGUGGUGGUGCUCCAAUUCCUGUGAAAUUUUUAUGAUAGGUUAUAAACGAUGCCCUUUUACUGUGGUAAAAAUUUCAUAUUGAUUGGUGCAUGUAUGACUGAGUUAUUGAUUUAACUUGUUUAAUUCUUGUUAUGUGAUUUAUAAAUAUUAAAAGUAUCUAAAAAUAGAAAAUAUAGUUACACUAUCUUUGUAUGAUGUUGUUCUACCAUAAUAACAUAUUAUAUGGCUAUGUGUUUAUAGAAAAUGUUGAUCUUUAGAAUUAUCUUACUUUUACAUGUUUUCUUGCAAUAGCAAUUUGUCUUUUUUAUAGCAAUUAAAUUAUAUCACCUGAGCAUGUGAAAUUUGUACAGUAGUCAUUUUUUGAUAACCUCUAUCAUCCAUAAAAAUCUCAGCUCCAAAUGAGAUGUAAUUGGAUAUAUAUGUUUACUAUAUAAUUGGAUAAUGAAAGUUUGCUAGUAGAUGCAUAUACUUAAGUCAUGUGAAGCUUUUAAUAGUUAUUUUUGAGGGGUACGUAUGAUGCUAAGUUAUGAUAAGUAGUGGAUAAGUUUUGAAUAUAACUCAUAUGUAUGCUCUCAUGUUAAUAUAACAACUAAUGAUUAUGUUGCUUAUAUAAGUUAUUCACCUUUGCUUUAAUUCUUGCUUAAGGUGUUUAGGGUGUUCCAUGUUACCUAAAACUAAUUCUAAUUAACUAUGUUCAUAGUAUUCGUGAGCUAUAUGUUUAACUUAUGCAUAUGUUACCUUGUUAAGAACUAAAUGAAGAACAUUGUUGCAUAUGUGAUGAAAUGACUGCUAGAGUAGUUUCUAUUGUGGCAAUAUUUUCGAGGUGAUAAUGAUAUUUUCUAUAAAUAUGGUGAAUACAAAAGCUGUAGAUAACUUCAUAAUAUAGCUUGUGUUAAAUUUUCAUGAUCAUAAGCCUGAUGGUUUAGGUGCUAUAGAUUUUACAAGUUCAUUGUUAGGUUUUGCAUGCUCUCGGUACAGGUCUGCAUGAUUGUGUUGUUUCACUUAGCUAAGCUUUGAAACAUGUCUUGGAGAUAAUAUAAUAAGUGUAGUGUUUUUUUCUUGAACCUUCCUGUUGACGCCAGAUUUCGUCACUAGUAAAAUCGGCGCCAAGAAGAGAGGAAUUCGGGGAAGCACAGUUGGGAAUCGGCCAAAUGGUGCUGUAGCGCGGAAUCGGUCGGUGACUUUUGUCUCGCUUUAGGGCGAAUGCACCAGAGUCCCAAUCGGUAAUCUUUUGCCGAUAAGUAAUCGGCCGAUUAGGAAGGUGGAUUAAUUGGGCCUGUAUGGGCUUUCAAAGGGAUGGAAGGAUAAGGUGGAGGUUAGCCCACGAAGCGUGAAGUAACUAACCUAGCACGAAUUGUGCUUGUAGAUAUUCGUUUUCUGUUUGAAUUAGAGAUAGGAUUCUAGUCGGUUAAGGAAUUAUCUGUACGG
rnacentral:lncRNA from 1 species